AUAAUUCAUCCUUUUGACCCCUGUGUUUAGGAUGACUUAGGGUUAAACUGUCAACUCUGAUCAGAUCAUCCGAAUCGUGCUCAACUCAAACAGUCCUGUGACUCCUCACAAGGACUACCCUGGCCAAGAUUUUGCUAAAUUGAAACACGACUAUACACAGCUCCUAAACUGGAGUGGUCAAUCCCAUCUUGACACAUGCACCG
rnacentral:lncRNA from 1 species